ensembl:lncRNA
CUGGGGGAGCCGCUCCCUGCUGCCAGGAGAGUCGGCCACGGAGUCGGCCACGGCCGGGAGAGAACUCCAUGGAAUCAAACCCCAGGAGUGGCUUCCUCAUGAGUUUCGUUUGGACACUGCCUCGUGCCCCACACCAAGAGUCGAGCCUGCCUCACUUCACGGAGGUUCAGUCACCUAACUCAUGCGUGUGCCCACCACUGCAGGCAACGACUCUGAGGCACAUCCAUCUGGUCCAGGGCAGACCAGUGUCUCACACAGCCAGAUCUGACAGACAGAGACCCAACCCGGGCCAUCUCCAGGAGUCAGGAAAUGCAGAAGCGGAGCCCUUCCCACGCACAGCUCCCACUCCCAGAAGAGCCAAUUACACCCCCACUUCAAUGACAUGUGACGAGAAACAGCACCAGCAUAGGGCCAGGAAGUACGUGUGCCACAGGCUACCAGGUUAGCCAAGGUCCUCCAGCAGGGGCAUAGGUGGCCCCUACGGAUACCAUCCCAGGAGACCCUGCUGGUAGCUCUUUCCAGCAGAAGCACCAGCAUCACCUGUGCUGAUGGGUCCACAGAAGCCCAAGCAGCGACCACCUGGUGACCCAGUCAGACGGGAAGGUAUGGCCAGCUGCAAGUGUGAUGUCAGCCACAGCCACAGCAGACUGCAGACACCAACGAUUCCUGAGCCUCUAA